CCUACGGGUGGCAGCAGUGGGGGAUAUUGCACAAUGGGGGAAACCCUGAUGCAGCGACGCCGCGUGGGUGAAGAAGCGCCUCGGCGCGUAAAGCCCUGUCAGCAGGGAAGAAAAUGACUGUACCUGACGAAGAAGCCCCGGCUAACUACGUCCCAGCAGCCGCGGUAAUACUUAGGGGGCAAGCGUUAUCCGGAUUUACUGGGGGGAAAGGGGGCGCAGGCGGCGAUGCAAGGCAGGAGUGAAAGCCCGGGGCCCAACCCCAGGACUGCAGUUGGAACUGGGUGGCUUGAGUGCAGGAGGGGCAGGCGGAAUUCCUGGUGUAGCGGUGAAAUGCGUAGAUAUCAGGAGGAACACCAGUGGCGAAGGCGGCCUGCUGGACUGCAACUGACGUUGAGGCCCGAAAGCGUGGGGAGCAAACAGGAUUAGAUACCCCAGUAGUC
rnacentral:rRNA from 1 species